rnacentral:rRNA from 1 species
GUGCCGUGAGGUGUCGGGUUAAGUCCCAUAACGAGCGCAACCCUUAUCGUUAGUUGCCAUCUGGUAAAGCAGGGGACUCUAGCGAAACUGCCACCGUAAGGUGAGAGGAAGGUGGGGAUGACGUCAAAUCAGCACGGCCCUUAUGUCCAGGGCUACACACGUGUUACAAUGGUCGGUACAGGGGGCAGCUACCUGGUGACAGGAUGCUAAUCUCGAAAACCGGCCUCAGUUCGGAUCGAAGUCUGCAACUCGACUUCGUGAAGCUGGAUUCGCUAGUAAUCGCGCAUCAGCCAUGGCGCGGUGAAUACGUUCCCGGGCCUU